GUGUAUCCCCAGAGGCCAGGUCUCGGGAAGCAUGGCGAAGUAGGAGAGGAUGAAAAUAAUGCAGGGAAGUGGGUGUGAGAGUGGAGCGGUGACGGUUGCUGUUAACUCGGUCUCUGUUCAUCAAGUGGGGCCAAUGCAGAUGGAAUGGAAGAGGGAGGUAGGAUUGAGGGCAAGAUUUCAAGCACCAUUAGAGCUCUGUGUAGUGAUUGCUCAUGCUUGGUUUUUGCAGCUGUUCUUGCAGAGGAAUUGUUCAGGAGCCCUGUCUGGAGAAGGAAGAGGCAGAAGUGGACCUGAGCAGCUUGGACAUCCUUUUAAGCAGACACGAACAGUCCUCAGCUUUGUCUCUUGCAUAACUGGCGUACCAAGUGAAAAGAAGUCAGUUUACUGCCCUCAUGUGAUGGAAAGCAAGCGAGAGCGACGAGACCUCGAGCAUUGUUAAUGCCAGGCAAGAGCCGUCCAUCUGGGAGCGGAACAGCUGCCACUGUCACUGAGAUAAGUCUGUUUUGCUGAGGGUUCUGCUCACGGCCCACCUGGCUCCAGUACCAAGGAAAAAGAAGUCACAUGUCAGAGUCUACUGCCCUCAUGCAAUGGAAAGUGAUCAAGAGCGAUUGGACCUGGAGAAUUAUUGACGGCAUGAAAAAGCCGUCCAUCUGGGAGUGGAAUAGCUGCUAUUGUCACUGAGAUAAGUGUCUGUUUUGCUGAAGGUUCUGCUCACGGCCCAUCUGGCUCCAGGUAGUGAUGCCGCAUCAGCUGGGGCUGGCUU